CCCGCUGAACUUAAGCAUAUCAAUAAGCGGAGGAAAAGAAACUAACAAGGAUUCCCUUAGUAACUGCGAGUGAAGAGGGAAGAGCUCAAAUUUAAAAUCGGGCAUCUGUCCGAGUUGUAAAUUAGAGAAGUGUUAUCUGCGCUGAACUGUGCAUAAGUCUCUUGGAAAAGGGCAUCAUAGAGGGUGACAAUCCCGUCUUUGGCACAGACUCUCAGGGCUUUGUGAUGCACUCUCAAUGAGUCGAGUUGUUUGGGAAUGCAGCUCUAAAUGGGUGGUAAAUUCCAUCUAAAGCUAAAUAUUGGCGAGAGACCGAUAGCGAACAAGUACCGUGAGGGAAAGAUGAAAAGAACUUUGAAAAGAGAGUUAAACAGUACGUGAAAUUGUUGAAAGGGAAACGUUUGAAAUCAGUCAUUUCUUCUGGAAAUCAGCCUUGCUUUUGCAUGGUGUAUUUUCCAGUUGAAAGGUUAACGUCAAUUUUGGUUGUCGGAUAAAAGCCUUUGGAAUGUGGCUCUCUUCGGGGAGUGUUAUAGCCAAGGUCAAUACGAUGACUGGGAUUGAGGAUUCGCCGCCAAUGCUCUCUGGGCAGUGGCAUCAUGCGCUCAGGUUAACACUCUGCUAGACAGCUUGCUGACUAGUAGUUUGAAGAUUUGACUCGUGUGGUUCCCACUAAUUGGCGUAGGACGUUAACUUAAUGGUUUUAAAUGACCCGUCUUGAAACACGG
rnacentral:rRNA from 1 species